UACGGAGGAUGCGAGCGUUAUCCGGAUUUAUUGGGUUUAAAAGGGUGCGUAGGCUGGUUAAUUAAGUCAGUGGUGAAAUACUCCGGCUCAACCGGGGGCUGCCGUUGAUACUGGUUACCUGAGUUUAGAUGAUGUGGGCGGAAUGUGUAAUGUAGCGGUGAAAUGCUUAGAUAUUACACAGAACACCGAUUGCGAAGGCAGCUUGCUGGGUCAUUACUGACGCUGAUGCACGAAAGCGUGGGGAUCAAACAGGAUUAGAUA
rnacentral:rRNA from 1 species